UAGGAUUUGGUGUAAUUGGGUAGCACGAAGAUUUUUGAAUUCUUGGGAUUAGGUUCGAUUCCUAUAGUCCUAG
rnacentral:tRNA from 2 species